UGGGGAAUAUUGCACAAUGGGCGAAAGCCUGAUGCAGCGACGCCGCGUGAGGGAUGACGGCCUUCGGGUUGUAAACCUCUUUCAGCAGGGACGAAGCGCAAGUGACGGUACCUGCAGAAGAAGCACCGGCUAACUACGUGCCAGCAGCCGCGGUAAUACGUAGGGUGCAAGCGUUGUCCGGAAUUACUGGGCGUAAAGAGUUCGUAGGCGGUUUGUCGCGUCGUUUGUGAAAACCAGCAGCUCAACUGCUGGCUUGCAGGCGAUACCGGCAGACUUGAGUACUGCAGGGGAGACUGGAAUUCCUGGUGUAGCGGUGAAAUGCGCAGAUAUCAGGAGGAACACCGGUGGCGAAGGCGGGUCUCUGGGCAGUAACUGACGCUGAGGAACGAAAGCGUGGGUAGCGAACAGG
rnacentral:rRNA from 1 species